AAUUGACCAAUUACAGUCAAAUCCGAGGGAAAUAGUCGACUGUGAUUCGCCCAUUUCUUAUGGCUUAAGGCUUAAAACCUUAUUAUAAAUCCGGGAUAAGCCGUAAAGCCGUAAGAAAUUAACCAACCACAGUCGACUAUUUUUCUCAUAUUCAACUGUGAUUGGUCAAUUUCUUAAGGAUUUACAGCUUACGGCCUCUUAAGCCAUAAGAAAUGGACGAAUCACAGUCGAUUAUUCCCCUCGGAUUUGACUGUAAUUGGUCAAUU
rnacentral:pre_miRNA from 1 species